AACGGGAUAGAGUAAUUUUUGGUAACUCAUUAGGCUCAUGUUCUAAAAUUAUAGGUUCGAAUCCUAUUCCCGUAC
rnacentral:tRNA from 1 species